rnacentral:rRNA from 1 species
CUGGCGGCGUGCCUAACACAUGCAAGUCGAACGAAGCAUAGCGGAAUGAGAUUCGUCGAAGGAAGUUAUGACUUAGUGGCGGACGGGUGAGUAAUGUAUGAGCAACCUGCCUUUCAGAGGGGGACAACAGUUGGAAACGACUGCUAAUACCGCAUAAUGUAUUUUAAGGGCAUCCUUGGAAUACCAAAGGAGCAAUCCGCUGAAAGAUGGGCUCAUAUCUGAUUAGUUAGUUGGCAGGGUAACGGCCUACCAAGACUGCGAUCAGUAGCCGGACUGAGAGGUUGAACGGCCACAUUGGGACUGAGAUACGGCCCAGACUCCUACGGGAGGCAGCAGUGGGGAAUAUUGGGCAAUGGGCGAAAGCCUCGACCCAGCAACGCCGCGUGAAGGAAGAAGGUCUUCGGAUUGUAAACUUCUUUUAUGAGGGACGAAGGACGUGACGGUACCUCAUGAAUAAGCCACGGCUAACUACGUGCCAGCCGCCGC